rnacentral:rRNA from 1 species
GAUGAACGCUGGCGGCGUGCCUAAUACAUGCAAGUCGAGCGGUAACACUUCGGGUGACGAGCGGCGGACGGCUGAGUAACACGUAGGAACGUACCCCAAGCUGAGGGAUAAGCACCAGAAAUGGUGUCUAAUACCGCAUGUGCUCUUCGGAGUAAAGCUUCGGCGGUUUGGGAACGGCCUGCGUCCGAUUAGCUUGUUGGUGAGGUAAUGGCUCACCAAGGCGACGAUCAGUAGCUGGUCUGAGAGGAUGAUCAGCCUGACUGGAACUGAGAACGGUCCAGACUCCUACGGGAGGCAGCAGUAGGGAAUUUUCCACAAUGGACGAAAGUCUGAUGGAGCAACGCCGCGUGCAGGAUGAAGGCCCUCGGGUCGUAAACUGCUUUUAUAUGUGACGAAAAUGACGGUAGCAUAUGAAUAAGGAUCGGCUAACUCCGUGCCAGCAGCCGCCGUAA